rnacentral:rRNA from 1 species
UACGUAGGGUGCAAGCGUUGUCCGGAAUUAUUGGGCGUAAAGAGCUCGUAGGCGGUCUGUUGCGUCGGCUGUGAAAACCCGGGGCUCAACCCCGGGCCUGCAGCCGAUACGGGCAGACUAGAGUUCGGCAGGGGAGACUGGAAUUCCUGGUGUAGCGGUGAAAUGCGCAGAUAUCAGGAGGAACACCGGUGGCGAAGGCGGGUCUCUGGGCCGAUACUGACGUGAGGAGCGAAAAGCGUGGGG